rnacentral:lncRNA from 1 species
CUGCCUUCUGGGUCAACAGCCUGCUGAACAUCCUUCUCUAUGCUCAAGUCUCUGCGUCAUCUUCUUUUUAUCAUAAAAAUAUGGAGUCUAAUUUUUGAAGCUGGUAAUGCAGGAUGUGUUGUUAACAUGCCAAGUAUUUAUUGAACAUCGACUCUGCAAUCAACUUUCUCAAUAUUCUCUUGGCAACACCUCUGCUUCUGUCUUCCCUCCUUCACCUUAAAAUUUUCUGGAGGUCGGAAGUUCAUAACAAGUCUGAAAAGGUUAAAAUCAAGGUAUCAGCAGGGCUGCGCUCCAUCUGGAGGCUCCAGAGAACUCAUUUUCUUGCCUUUGCCAGCUUCUAGAGGCCCCCUGCAUUCCUUGGCUCAUGGCACCCUUCCAUCUUCGUAGCCAGCGACAGACUGAUGAAACCUCUGUGCUGGAAACUGAGAGAUAAAAAAGGCAUAAAAGAACUAUGUCUCUAGAAACUUUCCCUCUGAUCUGCGAGAGACAUUCGUUUCUCAAACCAGCCCACUGGAACAAGUCUACUUUAAUGUCUGGCUUAGGAAAUACAUACAAAAACACUUUAUCAGUUCCUCAAAGAAUCAUUCUGUGUUAUCCAGACCUGGUCAAAUUCCUUCCCUUACGGUCCUCCUGAAUAGUAGUCAUCACAGUAACCAGGAAGUCAAUAAAUGUGUAAUUAGUUAUUUAAUUCUUCCUCCUCCAUCCCAACAACAAUGUGAGUUCCACAAGGAAAGGGUGGUGUCUGCCUUAGUUUCUGCUAUAUGUCCAGAGCCUUUUGCACCCAUAGCUGCUUAAUGAUAAAAUAAAUGAUUAACUAAA